rnacentral:rRNA from 1 species
CGAUAAAGCGGGUGAAAAGCCCGCUCGCCGGAAGACCAAGGGUUCCUGUCCAACGUUAAUCGGGGCAGGGUGAGUCGACCCCUAAGGCGAGGCCGAAAGGCGUAGUCGAUGGGAAACAGGUUAAUAUUCCUGUACUUGGUGUUACUGCGAAGGGGGGACGGAGAAGGCUAUGUUGGCCGGGCGACGGUUGUCCCGGUUUAAGCGUGUAGGCUGGUUUUCCAGGCAAAUCCGGAAAAUCAAGGCUGAGGCGUGAUGACGAGGCACUACGGUGCUGAAGCAACAAAUGCCCUGCUUCCAGGAAAAGCCUCUAAGCAUCAGGUAACAUCAAAUCGUACCCCAAACCGACACAGGUGGUCAGGUAGAGAAUACCAAGGCGCUUGAGAGAACUCGGGUGAAGGAACUAGGCAAAAUGGUGCCGUAACUUCGGGAGAAGGCACGCUGAUAUGUAGGUGAAGUCCCUCGCGGAUGGAGCUGAAAUCAGUCGAAGAUACCAGCUGGCUGCAACUGUUUAUUAAAAACACAGCACUGUGCAAACACGAAAGUGGACGUAUACGGUGUGACGCCUGCCCGGUGC